CGCCCACCGCGCCUCACUUCCUGUUUGCCUCGCUGCGGGGUUGCACCUGUGCUCAGGUCCAUCCGUGCUGGGUCUCCUGCGCACUGCUUUUCUGAUGCCGCCUGGGAUGACGGACUGGUGCCGCUGUUUUUAACAACUAAAUGACUGCCGCAAUUACUGCUGCUUUGCUUUGCUUUGCUGAAGCUGCUUUGCUGAAGUUGCUUUACUGAACCUGCUUUACUGACCUGCCGUACAGAAAAGUUGCUGGCUUUUCUGCAGUCACUCCGCUUCAAGUGCUACUGUCUGAUCUCGCUGGGCUGCGCUCUGCUUCAAGUGCUACUGUCUCAUACUGCAUGGCUGUGCUUUGGGUGCGCACUAGAGUCGGCGUGUGACUGCGCCCGCUCCGCCUGUUCCCUUUGGCGGUGGUUCGCUCUGGCACUAUGGCCGUUUUCCACCGCUGGGUCGCCUUGUCGUGAAGCUCCUUCCCAGAGGCACUGGUUUAACGUGGACUGACUGUGUGACUAAGGGAUUUAUUUUCUGAUUUUCUUUUGUGUAUAGUUGUUUCCUUUUUAUGAUUGCUUUGUUUAUUGUUUUCAAUUAUUUGAAUUAAUUUGCAAUUUUGUUCUGUGUAUAUAUUUUGUGUUAAGUUUUUUUGUUUUGCUUUAACAGUAUAGGUCAUAUUGAUUUGUGUGCAUCCCCUCCUAAUUUUGGUUCUCUUGUCCUUCAGCAGCUGAGGGCCGACAGUGGUGGACUGAUGUGGUCGGGUGGUGGUGUCCCUCCCUGGCUUGCUGUGCUGUCACCUCCCCAGUUUGAGUGUCCAUCUGAAGUGUGUGUGUCGCUGCUGAGCUGUGCACAUGAGUGGGGUGACUCCUCUGGGCUUCCCCACCCUCCGUCCUCCCUGGUCAGUCACACUGGUAGGGCCUCAGCCCCGAAAGGACCUCCUCCCCCCCUUUCUUUUUGAGUUACUUUCUUUUUAUUUUGAAUAGGCUUUUUUUGUUUCUCUUUAUCCACUUACAUAUUUUAUUGUGCAAAACUCUUAACUUGUAGUAAAGAAAUUAUUUUUGUAUGGAACCACGUCUCGUGGUUCCAUUCGUCAGUAUAACGAACUUGUGUGCCCACUGUAACUGGUGUUAACAGAUCAUCUCAAUUCUCCAGAUGCAAUUCCUGGGGUGGCGUUGUCGGAUUUUGAUUUGGGAUGAAAGAUCUAUAGUUAUAACUUCAAUGAUUAAUUGACAUACCAGUACUGGUUUACAAUACCUUUUGCUGCCACACGAGUAUGAGAACAAAAAUUCAGUUCAGACAUGAGACAAAAAGAA